rnacentral:sRNA from 1 species
ACGGUUGGUGGCGUACUCCCUGUUAACGGGCUGUAUCAUCACGUCUGCACUUUGCAAACAGAUACCAGGCCCGCCAGUUAAGCGGGCUUUUUUUU